ensembl:lncRNA
CGCUUAUUGUCAGGUUGAAAGGAAAAUCCAGUUUCCUCAAACUCACACCUCCUCUAACGUGAUAACCAUCUUAUCCCAGCAUUAGGCUGCUGAUUUUCACACCCCACUGCAGUGCACUGUGCUGCUCGUUGUGCCAAUUCAGCUCCAGGCAUAAUAUAAGCCGUCUUUUCAUCCUUGGCAUGUGCUGCUUCAGUGAUGUUGUUACCAAUCCACUGCUAACACUGCUACAUCCUUGCUAGUGGUCUCCUGGACUCGAAUCCAGACUCAGUUGGCCCCAAGAGCCUCUCUGCAGCACCAGGUAGUCCUUGAUAGUGACAGCUAUCAGACAGGAUCCUCAAGUGACGUGGGUUUCCAACAGGUGGGACUAUGGCAGCAGCUGGCAGCAGUGGCGUAAUUCCAGCUUUUCUCCUCUGCGCUGUUUGCACCCAGGAGAGCUACCGCUAUCCUCUGCUGCACCUGGAGAAAAACUCAUCUUGAAUGCCAUUGUGACGGCAGCUCCAGAACUUGGGGAAUUUUUGGCUCCCAAAAACUGAAUACAAGGGCAGACAUGACUGCUUUGCUUGCUUUCCACGACUACGAGCUUCUGCAGUCAGAGGGGGAGCAAGACUGACCCAGAUUUGAGAUCUUUCUAUUCAGUCUGGUCUGGGGACUAAGUCUUCCACUUGCACCUGAGAGCUGGGACUUCACAACAAAAGUGUUUAGAACUGAAGAUUCCCUCAGGUUUACCUCUGUUACCAAAUCUGGGAGCACUCCAGAGCGAUGUGACUUGAAUCAGAACAGGAACCAAACGUGAACUGGCCUCCUUCGUCUCCUCCACUCAGGUACCCACAGGCAUAAAGAUCAGCUUCAGUUUAAAUAGCUUAAAGGUAGGUUCUCCCCGACUUUCAGCAAUAGGAGAUGUCUGAAAAAUAUGUAACGUAGGUAGCAUAUGAUACAUGCAAGCUUCUCAGAUUCCAGAAUGAGUGGACCUUUCCAAGGUUAUGUAAAGAAAAGAGGCAGACAGAUGAAAUGGUAAAGGCAAAUGUACUUCCCCUGUUUAGUAUUCCUCCAAGCUGGAACUGGAUCAUCCAAGAUAUUCACACAAGCCCCACAACUUCCCUUCUGACCAUGAAGAUUUAGUUGCCACUGAAGGUCAGCCUAAUUUGACAUGACAAAUUCCGUGCCUGAAUGCCUUCUACUGAAGGCACAUCAUCCCUUCUACUGAAACAGCCCUCCUUUUUUUUCCCUAAAACACAGCACUCAGCUCAAAAUGGAGCAAUCUGCGCUAGGGUUGUGGCCAGCUCCAGUGAAUACUGUGUUAAAUGGGAUCAGCCAGGGUCCAAUGCAGACACGAUAUCCAAACCUUAGCCUGAAUCAGGGUUAAUUUAGAUUCCCCAGUCACCAUAAGGAAAGGAAGCCAUACAAUCUCCUGUCAAUAUAAACUUGGAAAUGCUGCCCAUGCAGCUCCAGAUUUCACAUUCCUGCCACACUGUGUCCUAUAGUGUUGUACUGUCAGAGAUCAUGGGGAAAAUCCUUGAGGCCAGAGGUCAGAAGACACCUUCCAACCUACGGCUGCAGCUUCAGGCAGCCUGCCAGCAAAUGCUUGCUUAUUUAAUGGGGCUUCUUUAUUUUUCAUUUUAAAAGGCAUCAUCCAGACACAUUUUCCUCUGCAGAUGUUUUAUCUGGAUAACGUAUUUCUGCAGGAAGUUUUUAUUUUUCUUUCCUUGUGCAUCUAUUCAUUGGCGGUGUAAAGCUUGCAAAGUUUUUAACGUUUAUUUUGUUCUUACGUGAUCCGUAAGCACAUUAUUUUGACACAAAAUAAAUGUUCCAGUUCAGAGUGCACAUAGCCUAAGGACAGAUCACAGACACAGAACGCGCCACAGAAAUACACCAGGGAUGGGUAUCGUUCACUGUUUGGUUAGCAACAACCAUUUUAGAUGGAAAUGAAGAAAACUUCCCGCUGUGCCACUUCCAG